UACAGGGGGGGCAAGCGUUGUUCGGAAUUACUGGGCGUAAAGGGCUCGUAGGCGGCCAACUAAGUCCGACGUGAAAUCCCCAAGCUUAACUUGGGAACUGCGUCGGAUACUGGAUGGCUUGAAUUCGGGAGAGGGAUGCAGAAUUCCAGGUGUAGCGGUGAAAUGCGUAGAUAUCUGGAGGAAUACCGGUGGCGAAGGCGGCAUCCUGGACCGACAUUGACGCUGAGGAGCGAAAGCUAGGGGAGCAAACGGG
rnacentral:rRNA from 2 species